GCUGGUGUGGCGGAACUGGCAGACGCCCGGGACUUAAAAUCCCGUGAGGGAAACCUCGUAUCGGUUCGAUUCCGAUCACCAGCA
rnacentral:tRNA from 1 species